rnacentral:rRNA from 1 species
UACAGAGGUCCCAAGCGUUGUUCGGAUUCAUUGGGCGUAAAGGGCGCGUAGGCGGUCCUGAUCGUCGGAUGUGAAAGGCCUGGGCUCAACCUGGGAAUGGCAUCCGAUACGGCGGGACUGGAGUGUGGGAGAGGUUGGUGGAAUUCCCAGUGUAGAGGUGAAAUUCGUAGAUAUUGGGAAGAACACCGGUGGCGAAGGCGGCCAACUGGACCACAACUGACGCUGAGGCGCGAAAGCGUGGGGAGCAAACAGG